AUUGAACGCUGGCGGCAUGCUUUACACAUGCAAGUCGAACGGCAGCGCGGGCUUCGGCCUGGCGGCGAGUGGCGAACGGGUGAGUAAUACAUCGGAACGUGCCCAGUAGUGGGGGAUAGCUCGGCGAAAGCCGGAUUAAUACCGCAUACGACCUGAGGGUGAAAGCGGGGGAUCUUCGGACCUCGCGCUAUUGGAGCGGCCGAUGGCAGAUUAGCUAGUUGGUGGGGUAAAGGCCUACCAAGGCGACGAUCUGUAGCUGGUCUGAGAGGACGACCAGCCACACUGGGACUGAGACACGGCCCAGACUCCUACGGGAGGCAGCAGGGGGGAAUUUUGGACAAGGGGCGAAAGCCUGAUCCAGCAAUGCCGCGGGUGUGAUGAAGGCCUUCGGGUUGUAAAGCACUUUUGGCGGGAACGAAAAGGACUGUGCCAAUACCACGGUUCGAUGACGGUACCCGCAGAAUAAGCACCGGCUAACUACGU
rnacentral:rRNA from 1 species